UUUACACAUGAUGGAGAGAUUUUCGUGAUCUACACGGCCUGAAAACGGAUGAAGAGUUGGCAAAGUAUCUUUUAGACAGUCAUCAGUCCAAAUAUGAAGCAUCAACAUCUACACCACUGAAGCGCCAACUGUGUAUUUCUCCAACACCAGUGCCAGCUCUGUCUAGCAUUCAUGGAGAAUCAUCUGAAAGGGAUGAUAAUUUGGAGGAGGUGAUGGAACAAGGUGAAACUAAAAAAGAAGGAUCUUCACAAAUGUUAUCUUGUGUGGGAAUUGAAGCAAACAUUGACGAGGAAGAGUUCAACAAUAUUCAAAUCUCUGUAAGUAUUCAGAUGUUAAUAAAAUGUGUCUAAUUUUCCAUACUAAAAACUUUAUAUUGUGUAUAUUCAGGAUAGAGUCAUCAGAUGACACAUGGUCACCAAACAGAGAACCAGAAGUUGAUUCGUCUUCAGAGGAGGACGAAACCAUCGAGAUGGACAGCGGUACUGAUGACAGCGGUGAUGAGGACUACACACCUUAUUUACACAUAAGGUAAUUCCUUUCGUUUAACAUUCUAUAAAACUGCAAUAGCGCAUAGUUAAUAAAAAGCUUUUGUUCACAGGACUGGAGCAGCAUUACAAAAAACAUUACAACUUGAGACUCUGCAAGAAAUUAACAUAGAGGAUACAGUUCAUGACUGUAAUAUCCCAGAAGCAACUGACCGACGUUUGACAAGCAAGAAAGGUCUUCCUCGACGCUACAAGCUAAGGCCUGAGGAUCCAAGGCGUUAUGGUUUGCUGUCCGGAGUUCCUGCACCAUCAACAGAGGAACGUCUACAACACCUACGGACUUGCGGUGAUGGUAAAACUUUGCCACAGACAUAGGUGUUGGGGGAGGCAAGAGAAAACCCAAAACCUUCUUUAUUUUUGUUUCCUGUGUUUUUUUUUUUUUGAAAAUAAAGAUAUUUUUUGGGGAAAUAAGGACUAAUAAUUUAAAAAUGUAUGUAAAAUGUUGGAGGUAGACAUAAUUUUUUGUUGUUGUGCAGGAGUUUUAAAAUUUAUGGUAUUUUUACAAAUGCAACACAGAGUUGUGCUUUAAAACACUUUAUUAGAGCAUCAAACAAAAAUAUAUAAAAACAAACUUAUGUAAAAUAUCAAAUAUAUACAUUUAUUUACAAUCGUCUUGGAAUAAAACCAGUGUAGUUACCAUUGGGGUCAGGGAAUUUUGCAGAAUAAACUCCUCCAUGUGUGGUACAGUUGAAAUACAUGUCUGGGGAGGCUGUUGGCAGCAUUUCUUUUCCAAAUCAGUUGGCAUAUCUCUGCAGUGGGAGCAUACACACCAUGAAGGUUGAUUGGGUGUUUGAGGUGUUGUGGCAGGUGGACCAGAGAGGGCAAGUACAUCAAAGAGAACACCAGUGUCUGUCCAGCACCAUGGUAAGGAUGUCAAUAGCCUAAUGAGGGUUCAGGUUCUGUAUGUGUUGCUACAAAAGUGGAAAGAGAUGCUACAGCAACAGUUAUGCUUACACGUUCAAAGUCUAUUCGCUCGGAACAAAGAUUCCGAACUCGAGAGAGAUCUUCAUCUCCAAGGUCCACAGCUGAGUGUCUCACACUUCUUCGGCCUCUGGAUGCACCGCGGCCUCUAGACACACCACGGCCUCUGGAUGCACCGCGGCCUCUAGACACACCACGGCCUCUGGAUGCACCACGGCCUCUGGAUGCACCACGGCUUUGAGAUGAUGGUGGGCAUCUCCUUUUUGCACCACGUCUUGAGGAUGCAAUAGGAGGUUCAAACUCUUCCUCAGAGGAUUCCUCAAUCACUGAACUCUAAAUU